rnacentral:rRNA from 1 species
UACGGAAGGCAGCAGUGGGGAAUAUUGCACAAUGGGCGCAAGCCUGAUGCAGCCAUGCCGCGUGUAUGAAGAAGGCCUUCGGGUUGUAAAGUACUUUCAGUCGUGAGGAAGGUGUUAAGGUUAAUAACCUUAGCAAUUGACGUUAGCGACAGAAGAAGCACCGGCUAACUCCGUGCCAGCAGCCGCGGUAAUACGGAGGGUGCGAGCGUUAAUCGGAAUUACUGGGCGUAAAGGGCACGCAGGCGGUUAAUUAAGUUGGAUGUGAAAUCCCUGGGCUUAACCUGGGAAUGGCAUUCAAGACUGGUUAGCUAGAGUCUUGUAGAGGGGGUAGAAUUCCAUGUGUAGCGGUGAAAUGCGUAGAGAUGUGGGGGAAUACCGGUGGCGAAGGCGGCCCCUGGACAAGACUGACGCUCAUGUGCGAAAGCGUGGGGAGCAAAC